GUUCAGCUGAAUCAAGAGUUGGAUGUUUGACUAACCCUCUUAAAUAUAUUUCUAAGAAAAUAUGAUAAAGCAAAUCUAUUUCACAAUAUAAUUCAAGGCUGAGAAAAUAUGGAUAAGUUUUUAAGCUGGUGGUAAAGAGUAAAGAUGUUUAAAAUUCUAAUUGAGGGAAUGGAAGCUUAGUGUAUAUAAGAAUCUAUUUUGAAUUUUUGAUGGAGGUGACAAAUGGCUUGUUGCCUAACCUAGAAAAAUGAAUGCACCUGAAGUAUUGCAAAAAACACAUUUUGGGGGGCAAAAAACGCAUUUUCAGAUUCUAAUCUAAGUAUCAAUGCUAUUUUCACAUAAGAAACACAGGUGAUAAACUUCUGGCCCUUCGUCCUAUGCAGCUAAAGUUUUGCUGGCUUGCUAAAUGUUUAAAAAGAAUUUGAACCAAUGUUUUAAAAUGGGAAGGUUUCACAUAAAGUCCAAAUUUGCUCCUCUUGACAGAUCUGGCAAUACUGGGCCCAUAUUCUUGCAUGGCAAAAUCUGGCUAGAGCUGGGAAGUAAUGUCCCAUUUAGAUGAACAUGGGAAGUUGUGUAGUCCCCUUUACUGCCUAUUGCUCCUUUUCCCUACUAUUCCCACUGCUAAAGACCCUUGACUUCACGACUUAAGUAGAAUACAGAACCACUAUAACACACCAAAUGCCAAAUGCUCUAUUUUAUCAUUAAUAGGUAUUAAGAAACAAAAAUACAAUCUUUGAGAACUAAGGGAGGUACCAGAAGCAAUCUGUUUAUGUAAAGAACAACAAAGGAUAUUUUUUGAAAUCACGUUGGAAAGACUUCAGAGGGGAAAUCUAAGAAAAGGUUGAGUAACAAGAACUACACUGAAUUUAAUCAACUGAAGCUGGCAAUGUCUCUGGCACCUGGGAAAUACCAAAUAUAUUCAGUUUUUUAGGAAGUAUUUACCAAAAUAAUAUCAAGAGCAGAAUAACACGAUAGGGAGAAUAGAUCCAUCUAAUAGGCAAACCAUUCUAUUUAGAUGUAAACAUAGUAAAGCUAAAAACAUAAGCAGCUGUUAUAUAAAAUAGUGGUUGUCAUAAAAGAAGUACAAAAAGUGCUAGGUAAGCACAGAGGAAAUUACUUCCUGUUGGAGAGAAUCUGGAAACACAUCUCCAAGGAUAACUAGGACAUGGAAACAAGAGUCAUGAAAGGUUAGUGCUUCAAUGAUUAAUCUUGGAAGAAACAAGAAUAGUUCAUUUUGGCUACAGCAUGAGUAGUAUGGAAGUAGAAAGAAAUUAAGUAAAGAAGUUAGGUUUGCACCCUUGUUGACUGGCUGGGUAAAUACAAUUUUCAAUUUA